AACGAACGCUGGCGGCAGGCCUAACACAUGCAAGUCGAACGCCGUAGCAAUACGGAGUGGCAGACGGGUGAGUAACACGUGGGAACAUACCCUUUGGUUCGGAAUAACUCAGGGAAACUUGAGCUAAUACCGGAUAAGCGCUUAGGCGGAAAGAUUUAUCGCCGAAGGAUUGGCCCGCGUCCGAUUAGCUAGUUGGUGAGGUAACGGCUCACCAAGGCGACGAUCGGUAGCUGGUCUGAGAGGAUGAUCAGCCACAUUGGGACUGAGACACGGCCCAAACUCCUACGGGAGGCAGCAGUGGGGAAUAUUGGACAAUGGGCGCAAGCCUGAUCCAGCCAUGCCGCGUGAGUGAUGAAGGCCUUAGGGUUGUAAAGCUCUUUUGUGUGGGAAGAUAAUGACUGUACCACAAGAAUAAGCCCCGGCUAACUUCGUGCCAGCCGCCGCCGUAACA
rnacentral:rRNA from 1 species